rnacentral:rRNA from 1 species
UNGGAGAGGAAAGUGGAAUUCNUAGUGUAGCGGUGAAAUGCGUAGAUAUUAGGAAGAACACCAGUGGCGAAGGCGACUUUCUGGACGAAAACUGACGCUGAGGCGCGAAAGCCAGGGGAGCGAACGGGAUUAGAUACCCCGGUAGUCCUGGCCGUAAACGAUGGGUACUAGGUGUAGGAGGUAUCGACCCCCUCUGUGCCGGAGUUAACGCAAUAAGUACCCCGCCUGGGGAGUACGACCGCAAGGUUGAAACUCAAAGGAAUUGACGGGGGCCCGCACAAGCGGUGGAGUAUGUGGUUUAAUUCGACGCAACGCGAAGAACCUUACCAGGUCUUGACAUUGAUGGACAGAACUAGAGAUAGUUCCUCUUCUUCGGAAGCCAGAAAACAGGUGGUGCACGGUUGUCGUCAGCUCGUGUCGUGAGAUGUUGGGUUAAGUCNNNNNACGAGCGCAACCCCUAUCUUAUGUUGCCAGCACUUUGGGUGGGGACUCAUGAGAGACUGCCGCAGACAAUGCGGAGGAAGGCGGGGAUGACGUCAAAUCAUCAUGCCCCUUAUGACCUGGGCUACACACGUACUACAAUGGGAGUUAAUAGACGGAAGCGAGAUCGCGAGAUGGAGCAAACCCGAGAAACACUCUCUCAGUUCGGAUCGUAGGCUGCAACUCGCNUACGUGAAGUCGGAAUCGCUAGUAAUCGCAGGUCAGCAUACUGCGGUGAAUACGUUCCCGGGCCUUG